rnacentral:rRNA from 1 species
CGAAAGGCGUAGUCGAUGGGAAGCAGGUUAAUAUUCCUGCACCGACGUGUAAUGCGAUGGGGGGACGGAUCGUGGAAAGUGGUCCAGGUGUUGGAUAUCCUGGUCCCUGCAUCAUAGAGGACAGUUAGGCAAAUCCGGCUGUCAUAUACUCAAGGGUGUGGGGCGAAGUAGCUACGGCUACGAAGCCAUUGGAAGUGGUCCCAAGAAAAGCCUCUAAGCUUCAGUUACACGUUGACCGUACCGCAAACCGACACAGGUGGGCGGGAUGAGUAUUCUAAGGCGCUUGAGAGAACUCAGGAGAAGGAACUCGGCAAAUUGGUACCGUAACUUCGGGAGA